UACGGGGGGGGCAAGCGUUGUUCGGAAUUACUGGGCGUAAAGGGCGCGUAGGCGGUUUGCUAAGUUGAAUGUGAAAACUCUGGGCUUAACCCAGAGCCUGCAUUCAAUACUGGCAGGCUGGAGUUCUGGAGGGGAUAGCGGAAUUCCUGGUGUAGCGGUGAAAUGCGUAGAUAUCAGGAGGAACACCGGUGGCGAAGGCGGCUAUCUGGACAGAAACUGACGCUGAGGCGCGAAAGCGUGGGGAGCAAACAGG
rnacentral:rRNA from 1 species